CACCUUGAAAUUCUGUGCGCCUCCGGCGGCCUCCGGGAGCGUGGGAACCUAGCCUACGGGCGCUUCCCUGUGGGGGCGGAGCGUCGUGUAGAGUCGGGGGGCGUUUCCGGGAAGUUAGAUGCCAGCUAAACUUAGAGGGUAAAGUGAGGUAAACUCUAGCGCUGCUUGAGGUUUAGUUCGGCCAGCACUUUGGCUUGUUCCUCGUGGACAGCGAGCGAUCAAAUUCGUGAAAAGAGGGAGUCCGGAAAUAGAGAGCAUGAGAAAACAUCUAAAGCAUCCAGAAAUCCUCUCCUGGACACCUUCCAAGAGGCAGGCUGAAUCAUCCUUCAGCCCCAGAGAAGGGGAAGCCAAUUUCAGGUGUUCAGAGGCUGAUCGAAGACUUGAGAUUGGCACAGCUUUUGAGGCCUGAAGGCGCUUUAGUGCUUUCAGGAAGCGAUUCUCCAGCCUGCUUCUGCUGAAAGAACCUCAGAUCUUCCCAGUGAGUAAACAUCUGGUUUUAGCUGAGACUGAGCAGAAAAAAAAAAAAAAACCGGGGAGAAACAAAAUUAAUUUCUUUGAACUUCUGUAAGUACAAGACAUUUUUAUGGAGUUUUAAUUGUUUUGGAUUUGAAGUGUUUGACCUUGAAAACUUAUAGCAUUUGUAUUUAGUUCAUCCUGGAAAUCUUAUUAAUAAGAAACCAUCUUCAAUAUGUGGAGCAAUUCUAUAUUUUAGGGCUUUCAUUAUGAGAGUACCUUUAUGAAACUUAUUAUUGGAAUAUCUUGUUGAUGUCAUUUAGUUUCCUUGAAGGUCUUCUGAUAUGCUCUGGUGAAUUACUUACUGAACACAAUCUGCAUAGGAAAUAGAAUGGAAAAGUAAUGUCCAGUCUUGGUGGAACACUCAUCUUGGAGUUAGUAUCUUCUUGUGCCUGAUUUCAGAUCAUUAUAAAACAAAUUCAACACUAAUAUCUAUUGGACUGUGAAGGUUUUGUAACACACCUGAAAAUGGGCAUUCCUCUCAUGAGAGUUGGGUUUUAUGUUCGCUCCUCUUAAAUUUGGACCUUUUUUAGUGAUUUUGUGUGAAGAGUAGAAUGCAGCAGAAGUCAGGUCCCUAAAUCUUGGGUCUGGGUCAGAAAAAGCUACGGAGCUUCCAUCUGGUUCUCUCAGGACACUUGUUUUGGAGCCUUGAGCAACUAUGUAAGAAGUCCACCCACACUGAGAUGUCCAAGAUAUGAAGAAGCCCAGAGCAUGUGGAUUGGCCAUGUAUAAUGCUCCAGCCAAGGGCACCAGCUGAGGUCUUGGGCAAUAGCUUCAACCUAGUAUCAGUUAUUGGACAUGUUUGUGAAGACUCCUCCUCCAGAUGAUUGUCCACCUGUCCACCCCCAGCCAUCACAUUGAAGGCCCAGAGAAACUGGAGCAGAGACAGGACACUGGCACCGCAUCAUUCUAUAAAUACUGAACAAUUGUUGGUGUGUACUGUGUUUCAAAGGAUUAGCAACUAUAAGCAGCAAGUCAACUCAGAAGUCUUAAUGAUGGAGCAGCAGCUGGCAUUAGGUAUACAACCUAAGGGCACCUAGGGGCUCAGUCCGUUGAGCGUCUGACUUCAGCUCAGGUCACGAUCUCACAGUCUGAGUUUGAGCCCCACAUCGGGCUCUGUGCUGACAGCUUCAAGCCUGGAGCCUGGUUCGGAUUCUUUGACCCCCUCUCUCUUGGCCCCUCCCUUGCUCUCACUCUGUCUCUCUCUCUCUCAAAAAUAAACAAACAUUAAAAAAAAAUGAUGUACA
ensembl:lncRNA